rnacentral:rRNA from 1 species
UACGAAGGGGGCUAGCGUUGCUCGGAAUCACUGGGCGUAAAGGGCUCGUAGGCGGCCAACUAAGUCGGACGUGAAAUCCCUCGGCUUAACCGGGGAACUGCGUCUGAUACUGGAUGGCUUGAAUCCGGGAGAGGGAUGCGGAAUUCCAGGUGUAGCGGUGAAAUGCGUAGAUAUCUGGAGGAACACCGGUGGCGAAGGCGGCAUCCUGGACCGGCAUUGACGCUGAGGAGCGAAAGCCAGGGGAGCAAACGGG